GCCUCCAUAGCUUAAUGGCAGAGCGGCGGUUUUGUAAACCGUUGAUGACAGUUCGAUUCUGUCUGGAGGCU
rnacentral:tRNA from 1 species